GUAGUCUACUUGUCAACAAUAUAAACCGGCAUCAACACGGUCCUUGUUACUCGGCUGUGUUUGAUAGCAAAGUACUCCCUCCGUCCCGAAUUAUAAGAGAAUUUUGCUCUCUAUGUACAAAAUCGCGAGCGUAAGGAAACUUUCUCGCUUUCCGAUUUUACCCUCACCCCGACAGCUCCCAUUCCCCUCGCCCGCUCCUCCGUAAGCUCACUUUUCCCUCGCCAGCCUCUCUACAGCUCACCCAUUCCUCUCGCCGGCGUCGUUUGCGCCCCCCUCUUGUCGGCGUCGGCGCCCCCCCCUCUCGUUGGCGUCGUCCCCGCCUCCCUCUCGUCAGCGUCUCCUAUCCCAUUCCCCUCGCUCACCCACUCCCCUCCAAAGAUGGCAUCGUCGUGUCAAAGAUCACCUUUUUACUCAGGUGGAUCUGCAUCGGCGACUGCUGCGGCGGCGCGGCGAUGAGGUGAGCAAGCUUGUGGGGGAGGGGGGUCGAUGCCCACACAGCAGCUGCGGCGCCGCGGCUCUGCUCCCAUCCGCCCACCUGCACAGCGACCAGCGCGGCGCUGCAGGACCAGCAGCUCGCCUGCGGCGGCGGAGGGGGCCUCUGUGACUCCGGCUGGAUUCACCACCUGCAAGGACGAUUGGAUCCGGCUGGAUUCGCUCAAGGCAGACGACAACGCCAAGGACGACUGGAUCCACGACCUCCCUCCCCUCGACAUGGCCAGCAGUAGCACCGAACAGAGUACUCCAUUGCUGUUUAGAUCCGGGAGAACCAUCUUCGGAGAUGUGCUGUAAUCUUUACUCCUAGUACAACAUGAACAGGUGGAGUAGUUGUUAUUGUUCAUAUGCAAAAGCAUAGUAUAUCCUCUGUUCAUGAAAUGAAUAUGCAAAAUUUCCAAUCAUUGUGUCAUGAAAUGAAUAUGCAAGAGUACUAGAUUAUCAAACAUUGUUUUGACAUAAACUGAUCCUACUGUGCAUAAUGGAGUACUCCAGAUCAUGAGCUUUGUUAGCAUACAUUUAAAUAUUCACACUAGAUCAUGAGCACUUCAUUACUCUUGGAGCAGUUUUGUUGAUGUCAAAUUCGUGCAAACAAUUCAAGCAGUAUUUCUGUCAAUGUAGCUACUCAUGGAGUAAAUUGUAAUAUUGGUGAUAAUUGCUGUCAAUUAAAUUUCCUGGAGUACCUUGUCUUUGUAAUCUUCCUACAGCAGCAUGAACCAAGCCUCUCUCAUAGGAACAGGAACCUGUUGAUUUCUCUGCUGUCAAUUCUCUGUGUCUUUGUAAUCUUCUUGCUGUCAAUUUUCUCUCUUCUCUGUUGAUGUUGCUACUGGAGCCGGAGCUACUCUCCUUCCCUGUAAUCUUCUUGCUGUCAAUUUAAUCUACUCUCCUUCCCUGUAAGCUUCUUGCUGUCAAUUUAAUCUUCUCUGCUUCACUGUAAUCUUCUGCUGACCUUCCCUGUAAUCUUCUCUACUGAUUUCUCUUGAAUUUGCUGCAGCCCGGAACGCAGCGAGCAACAGGAUGCGCUAGGUGUGGAGGAGCUGGGGGCCUGGGCGAGGAGGCGCUGGGGGCUGGAGCGGCGAGGUGCCCAGGGCCGGGAGCGGCGAGGUGCCAAGGGGCCGGAGCGGCGAGGUGCCCGGGGCUGGAGCGGGAGGUGCCCAGGCGCUGGAGCUUUUCCUCGCCCAGGAGCAGGAGGAUUUUGAAUUUGAAAUCCUCUGCAGCUUAGUGGGAUCGCAGGGAAGGCGAUCACAGGGAAGACGAUAGAAGGGGUAGAAAUGACUUUUUGUCACAUAUCGAUGUUGUCGGAAUUCUGGAAAACGCUCUUAUAAUUCGGGACGGAGGGAGUAUUUUCUAAGUAUUUUGAGAAUACCGUAGUUUUUUUUUAAUACCAAAGUUUUAUUUA